rnacentral:rRNA from 1 species
GGAAGGUGCAAGCGUUAAUCGGAAUUACUGGGCGUAAAGCGCGCGUAGGCGGUUAGAUAAGUCGGGUGUGAAAGCCCCGGGCUCAACCUGGGGACUGCAUUCGAUACUGUUUGACUAGAGUGUGAUAGAGGGAGGCGGAAUUCCGCAUGUAGCGGUGAAAUGCGUAGAGAUGCGGAGGAACACCAAUGGCGAAGGCAGCCUCCUGGAUUAACACUGACGCUGAGGUGCGAAAGCGUGGGGGGAGCAAACAGGAUUAGAUACCCUGGUAUUCCACGCUGUAAACCGAUGUCAACUAGCCGUUGGGAGCAAUUUGGCUCUUGGUGGCGUAGCUAACGCGAUAAGUUGACCCGCCUGGGUAGUACGGUCGCAAGAUUA